CUCAGCAAGUCCUGACAUGCCCAAGGGGUCAUGGCUCAGCUUGGUUUUUUUACAUUUUAGGGAGACUUCAGACAUCUGUCAAUAGGUACAAAGCACAUUAGUUCCUUCGAGACAGGCAGGCGAGGACAGCUCAAAACAAGGCCCCUCCACUGCGUGCUGCCAGGUCACAGGUCUGCCUUCCACCCCGAGGACCCCCGUGGACAUGGUACCCCAGGAGCUGCCACCCCCAGGAGAAGAGGUCUACAGGGAGGAAGGAGAACGCAAAAGAUGCGAUGGGGGUGUCUGGGGCUACUGCCUUCCACAGCAGCUCUGCCUGGAGUGCCAGCCCGGGACAGGAAUUGCUGGAGGGGCUCUGACAGACGCAGAGGAUGGAGACUUCAGUGCCAAAGGGUGAGACACACCCCGUGAGAGGCCCAGAGCGAGCGGUAGCACCCCCGACUCCCUGCUGUUUCCAUCCACGGUGCACUAAAUGCCACUGAAUUGUGCACUCUGGCGCAGCUGAUAACACAGCUAAUGUAUGUGAGCUUCACCGAGGAAUAAAUUUGUGUUUUCAACCA
rnacentral:lncRNA from 13 species